AAAUCAAUCUACAGCUUCCUCCUGUAAUGGCGGAUCGCAGAGACAUAAGGGGAGAACGUUCGUGCUGGGAACUCUGUUUUCCCCCCCGAUAUAAAUGCAGUAAACAGACCCGCAUGUGGGGCUGCUCAGAGUUAUAUUUGUCUUAGGAUAUGUUGUGAUUGAUUAAGAGGCAAAGGGAAUGUUUGAAGAUAGAAGAUUGUGCUAUGCUGUUUCUUGAUCUGUGUUUCCAGUGUCGGUGAAAAUGUCGUGAUUCGGCAUCUUCAUUGAUUUUCUGGCUGGCUGUCGUACAGCUGUUUCUGUUUUUGCUGACUGACGCCUUAUAUCGUUUUCCGAGGAAGAAAUAGUUUCCGCGGUGCUCCAUAGGUUCUUUGAAAAUAUAUUUUUAGCUUGCUUAAAUAUAUACAGUAUGCUGUGGGGAAAGAUGACUGCUGUCUGGUCCAGAGCAGCAAACACCAAUGUCUGAAACUGGAAUAUCUGAACUGAAACUGUAUGGCUGUCAAAGUCAGUAUCCUCCCUGCUGCCAGACCACAUCGGCAUCCACAACUAGCCUGGGGCUGUAAAACUGUAAAAAACGGAAACUAUGGAUCUUAGUGAGAAGUGCCUUGUCAUGAUUGGAGCUUAGAGAAAGCCUGGAAGGUGAAAACGGGUUCUGAAUUUCCAGAUACCUCGUUUAGCUCUUAUGCAGUAAAAAUAGAAAUUUUCUACAUUGACCAGCUGACAUUUGCUCAUUACCCUUGGUGUUCUUAAGGUGGUCCUUCGUUCUAUUUGCUUCACAGGAGACUGAACCUGCGCCUUUUAUGCAAUUGACUUAAGAAAAAGGAAAUUGCCUCUGUGGACUUUUAAUAUAUAUAUAUAUACACAUCAUUAGGCAUUUGGCUCUUCUCCUGUUGAUGUUUCAUUUGCUAUAAAUAUAUUUUGAUAAUGCCAGUUA